UACGAAGGGGGCUAGCGUUGUUCGGAAUUACUGGGCGUAAAGCGCACGUAGGCGGAUUGUUAAGUCAGAGGUGAAAUCCCGGAGCUCAACUUCGGAACUGCCUUUGAUACUGGCAAUCUAGAGUCCGGAAGAGGUUAGUGGAAUUCCCAGUGUAGAGGUGAAAUUCGUAGAUAUCUGGAGGAACACCGGUGGCGAAGGCGGCAUCCUGGACCGACACUGACACUGAGGAGCGAAAGCCAGGGGAGCAAACGGG
rnacentral:rRNA from 1 species